CUAAGGUGAAGGCCACCAGAAACCUUUUUCGAAGGUUUUUCUGCUGCCUCUGCAUGCCAAGGACAAAAGAGACAACAUCCAGGGCUGACGAUGCGGCCCUGACCCGGGAUUCCUAAACCCCGGGUCUGUGUUCGGCCUGGUUGGGGCAUAACAGUUUCUGGAGCAAGCCAGGCCAGAGCAUGAAAGGAGGUGUGCCCCAAACAUCUACCUGAUAGACAGCUCCAGCCACCAGGGCAUGAGCUCUGUACCCCUCCUCUCCUACUGGGUGCAAGGGUGAACUUCAUUUGUUCCCAGAAGAAGUAGCUGGACAUAGAAGCCUGUCACAUCAUCAUGGGCGAUGACGAGGCAUCCAUCCUGCUUCAAGUCCACAUGAGAAAAGGUCCACAACCAAGAAGGAGAGGAGCAAAAUUCCCCUGAAGAGGAGGUUAGGAGCGAAUGGUGCAUGUGUACCCCGAGAAGACGACCCUAUCUUCCUCAUGGGUUCCAGCUUGCUCCAAGCUGCAGCAGGAACCCACACUGAACUAGGAGGAGUUAGUGAGAACUCAUUUGCUUGACUAGCACAUCUUCCUCUAUGGGGUCCAGAUGAU